rnacentral:lncRNA from 10 species
GGAGCCCGACCGUGGUUAGACUGACGGGAUCUGGGAUCAUGCAGGAGCUGUGAGCUCAGGGCGCUCCUCCAGCGGUGGAGGAAUACAGUGACCAUCAUAAGGUGUCACCUAUUACUGCGUCCGGCACGGUGCUAAGGCAUCGCAUGCCAGAUCUCAGUCUUUGUAGCUCUAGGAGAGCUGCUGCCCAAAGGGAGCAAGGAGGAACAGCGGGAUUACGUCUUCUACCUGGCCGUGGGGAACUACCGGCUCAAGGAAUACGAGAAGGCCUUAAAGUACGUCCGCGGGUUGCUGCAGACAGAGCCCCAGAACAACCAGGCCAAGGAACUGGAGCGGCUCAUUGACAAGGCCAUGAAGAAAGAUGGACUCGUGGGCAUGGCCAUCGUGGGAGGCAUGGCCCUGGGUGUGGCGGGACUGGCCGGACUCAUCGGACUUGCUGUGUCCAAGUCCAAAUCCUGAAGGAGACGCGGGAGCCCACGGAGAACGCUCCAGGAGGGCCUGUCCAUCCUCGCUGUCCUUUCCCUGUUCUCCCC